GAGAGAGAGAGGAUGGUUGCACCGCAUUGUUGGUUGUGCUAAAUGCCAGCAACUCGUACACUUUUAAAACGGUUAAUUUUAUGUCCCGUGAAUUUUAUCUCCUUAAAAAAAAAGUUAAGUGUCUCUUAAGCAUUUUUCAUUUUCCUUUUGCUUCUGUCGAAAAGUCAGAGAAGAAACACUUAGAUAAUAAGUGACCAUCAUCUGGGUGUGGUUUCCUUUCGGGGCUCGACGACUCCCGGGUCUCCCUCUGGUGGCCAAAUUAAGCAACAGGUCAAGAUGUCGGGAGGCCUUGGGGCCUGUGUCAAUGACCUGUGGAAGCGCGGGUACCAGGCUGCUGGGCUCAGAAGCGACCUCUCAGGACCUGGGGCCCUGUGCGUUUUGUCCCAGUCACGUGCACGGUUCAGGGCUGUUUUACUGAACCGGGAUCACAGGGGUCUUGCUUCUGUGGGGUCACGGGUAUUAAUUGUAAAUUAGCCAUUUCAAAUGCCUCCCUGACUCUCAAGGCAGAACCAAACCUAUUGUCAUUUCUCCUAGACUACAAACCCGAGUUAAGUUGCUCAUUUAAGUGUUUAGUUUCAAUAGAGCAUAAACGUGAUGGAAAAAAGCCAAUUCUAACAGCCGCCCUGGAAAAGCUAUUUUUACAUGCGAGAGGGGGAAGGGCUGGCUUUGUCUUGUGACUCACUCUUCUGAGAAAGACUUAGGUUGGGGCCAAGGUAACCUUUGAAAUAGAUGUUUAAAAAAAAAAAAGAAAAGAAAAGAAAAAGUGAAUCCAGCAUCUGGAUGUGUUCUUAGGAGAUUUAGAAAUCGGUCAUGGAUGUCCAAUCAGAACGGUGUAACCAGCUUUUGGAAUAGUACCUGCCAGAAAAGUAACACGGAGUAACUACUUGUUGAACAGACACAGAGAGAGAGAGGCAGAGACAUAGGAAGAGGCUCCCUGUGGGGAGCCUGAUGUGGGACUCCAUCCCAGGACCCUGGAAUCACCACCUGAGGCAAAGGCAGGUGCUCAACCACUGAGCCACCCAGGUGCCCGAGGCUGGAUUUUAUAUAUGUACACACACGUAUAAUCUCAGCUAUCCUUUGGUAAUUUUCUGCAAAUUGGACCUUGAAGAAGUAAAGAAAACAAUAAAGGGAGCUUCUCGCUGGACUACCUGUUGGAUGAUGACUAAUAGUGAGAAAUAAGUUUGAAAAAAUAGCUUAGGUUCAGAUAGUGGAAGUUCCUGAUAUACUUAAAAAUAAAUUUAUUGAAUUUUUCCAUCA